rnacentral:lncRNA from 1 species
GAUGGCAUCAUCAACUCAAUGGACAUGAGUUUGAGCAAACUCUGGGAGACUGUGAAAGACAGCGAAGCCUGGUGUGCUGCAGUCCAUGGGGUCUUGAAGAGUUGAACACAACUUGGCAAGUGAACAAAAGCAAUGUGUUACUUUUUAAUUUAUUGUACAUGUUUACUGAGUACUUACUGUGUACCAAAAACUGAGAAUAAAGUGGUGAAUAAAAACUGUAUUUCCCCUUCCUUGGUGAUGCUUACAUAUAAUCAGGGGAAAGCACCACCAAUCCAAUUAUCAUCAAACAAAUUGAAAACAUUAACUAUGAAAAAUGUUGCAAGGUGAAGAACAUGAUGCUGUAAGAAGGCCAAUUUGCCAAAAAUCAAUUUGCAGCAAGCCAAUUUGCCAAAAGUCAAUUUUCCAAAUGACUGAUUCAUUGAAUUCCCUAACAGAAAAUUCACUGAAAGAUAGUUCAUCCAAAACCAAUUUCUAAAAAAUCAAUUUGAUGAAAAGUAGUCUUUCAGAUCAUCACUUCAUCAAACGACCAAUUUACUGAAUUAUUGGGGAUUUUUUGAAGUCUUCAUUUCACAGAAGUUUCAACGCAGUCCUUUCAUGACAGCUCUUCAACCUCAAAUUUGACCGUCUGUCUGGGCUGGACAACAAAUACUUCAUGUUUUCACAUUUCAGAUGCCAAGUCCUUCUCUCAAGCCCAAUGAUCCAGUACUUUAAUGUAAGCAAAUGGCAGGUUGCUUCUUAUAUGUAGUUACUGUCUUUAGGUUUGAGCUUUUUCUAGAAAGAUGGCUGCAAAAACACAUCCUUGACCAGGGCGAUGAACUAGUCUCCAGAAAGUUGGUUUUUGCUAAAUUGGUUAUUAGCAAAUUGGUCAUUCAUUGAACUGACCCUAAGUUUACUGUUUUUCAGUGAAAUUACCUAAAGGCAAUGCUUUAGAACUGGGGAAUUUGGCCUUUCAUGGCAGGGAGAGAAGACUUCAUUGAGGAAAACAUAACUGAACUAAGGUCAGAAGGAUACAUUUUUAAAACAACAAAGUAAAAGGAGGAAGGAUCAAAAGGCAAAGAAUAUGAAAAAACUAUUUGAAAGGGCACAGAAUGUUCAAACUAUUGCACAAUUGCACUCAGCUCACAUGCUAGCAAAGUAACGCUCAAAAUUCUCCAAACCAGGCUUCAACAGCA